AGCACAAGAAUUGAGAAAGAUAGCAAUCAAGAAACGCUGAUGUAUUUGGCGCGUCGAGAAGAGAAUCGAUGGAUUUUUUUCCCCGAAGAGGAGAUCGGACGCUGGAGAAGAAAGGAGGAAUGAGACGUUUAAGAUGAGAACUUAAGGC